GCCCGGGUGGCUCAGUCGGUUAAGCAUCUGAUUUCAACUCAGGUCAUGAUCUCACAGUCCGUGAGUUCGAGUCCCACGUCGGGCU
rnacentral:tRNA from 1 species